GCCUUUGUGGAUUAAUUGGCAAAAUCAACUCUGUUCAGUUCUCCAGUCCGCUAUUACGAGAGUUGAUGUGGGUUCGAAUCCCACCAGAGGCA